rnacentral:tRNA from 1 species
GACUGUGUAGCUCAGUUGGAAGAGCAUUGGGCUAGUAUUCCAAAGGUCGUAGGUUCGAAUCCCACCGUGGCCG